rnacentral:tRNA from 1 species
CCGCCGCGUAGCGGGCGCGUUUGGCGGCCUUGCGGGCCUCGUGGAGGGCCAGGUCGCGCUCCUCGCCCGGGUGCAGGUCCAGGGCGGCGGC